ACUUAAAUAGCUUAAAUAUUAGUUUUUGACGUUGAAGGUGUUAAGGUUAAAAACUUAUCUUUAAGUU
rnacentral:tRNA from 1 species